GGAGAUUUGGAGGUGUUAGUUUAAGAUUGCUUUUAUAUUGUGUCUAUCCGUGUUUCCUAGGAGGGAGACAGAGUGUGUAGUUGUGUGCCCAUAAAUGUGAUUUCUGUAUUGGCAUAUCUGCUGGGUACCCAUUAUGUGUUUCUACAAAGAUAUUGUUUUAUGAGAUGACUAAUAUUACAUUGGAUGCUGAGUAUGAGUUAUAUGGUUUGAAAUGAAUUGGUG